ensembl:lncRNA
GUUUUCAGGCUCAUAUAUAAAAAAGCUGCAUCAUGGAGAUUAGCUUUAAAGAAAAGUAUUUUUAAUCCCAGACAAGUGCAGCCACAGUUACGGCAGACAGAAGGAGAAAGGUGAAGGAGGACUUGGAAGAGGUGUAUUCUUCCUCCCCUGCGGAGACUGUUUCUUUCUUGGGGCGUCUGCUCCACGUGGACCAUUUGACAAAGAAACAAGAGGCUGGGGAAAUAGGAUAAAGGAGAUGGCGCGAACUGAUGGACAUUUGGAGAUGGACAUUUUAUUGACCCAAGCUUGACCAGAGCUGAGGGAACUGCAGCACUCUACAUUAAACCCUUUAGACCUCAUUUCACGAUGAUACCACAGUCCCAUUUGGCCAUCGCCUACCCCAAGAACAACCACCACCACCACCACCACCAGCCCGAACACCACCACCCCCCACCAAAAACCACCACCCUCAAAAACACCGCGGGCAACACCACAACCAUAACCAUCCCAUCAACCAUUACUAACUACAAAUGCCAACGUCUUUAGAUGUGUCCCUGAACUAUGUGGAAAAUAUGAUGAUUUGGGGGGUUUUGUCCUGUCAGUGGUUGUUCAUCUUUAUUUACUUUUUGUUGUUUGUUUUUUAUGUCGUUGUUGUUAACGGUCAUGUGUAUCUGUCUUUUCACUGAGAACAAUUUCCCCAAGGGGACAAUUACUAAACUAACUAACUAACCAUCACCCCGACCAUCCACCAGCCCCCAUAACACCCCCACCACCCCCAGCACUACCACC